UGGAGUGCAGUGGCGCGAUCUCGGCUCACUGCAAGCUCGAGAGUACAUUUCUUGAAACAGGGCUAGAAUUAUUUCUGCCUGGUAUCAUUAAAAAGGAGGUGACAAUUUGGCCUAAGAAAAUUCACGGAAUCCAUUUUGAAAGAAAAUUAUGAGUGGAAAACACCUGAGUUGAAAAGUGGGGAAGUUUCUCAAUCUGCUUACUCCAAGGAAAUUCUUAAAGGAAUUAUAAACACUUACCUAAUAAGUUAAUUUUUAAUUGUAAAAUAGACCAUCUUCAAUUUUUUGAAGAGCCCUCGUGUGGAGGAAUGCGAUCUCAUGGAAACAGUGGCCAAAAGAGAGUUCUCCUAUUGCUUUUUACUUCCCUUUGCUUGAAAAAAGAUAAACAGCAUAGAAACCUCCGAGAGGCUACCGAGUUCUCUUUGAAUUUUUUUCUCUGCAGCUGCACCUGGAACUGCUCCCUGCUGCAUUUUACUGCCUCUGUAAGAGCAACAGUCCCUCUCCUGAAAAUUGGACUGAAUUCCAACAAGUCGGCAACCUGCAUGAAGACAAGAUGUACUGCAGUGCCAUGCUGGGCAUCUUAAAGAACAAGGCAUUGUCCUCUGCAGACACCCAGGCUGCAGACUUCAAGGACUGGAAGAAGAGCUUUGCGUCUUCUCUCUUCUCUAUACAGACACAAUCUGUAGCAGCAAAUGUGUUACAGAUGAAGGACAGAAGCUGGGCCCGCCUGCACCCAGGUGAAAUAAACAACAGCUUUAUUGCUCACACAAAGCCUGUUUGGUGGUCUCUUUACACGGACGCGAGUGAAAUUUGGUGCCAUGACUCAGAUCGGGGGACCUCCCUUGGGAGAUCAAUCCACUGUCCUCCUGCUCUUUGCUCCAUGAGAAAGAUCCACCUACGACCUCAGGUCCUCAGACCAACCAGCCCAAGAAACAUCUCACCAAUUUCAAAUCUGGUUGCAUGUAGAGAUGAACCCCCAGUGGAUUCCUGUGAUGUCCUUUGCAGCAGUGUCAACAGUGAAGUCCCAGAUGACAAGACUGGCAAGGAUCUGAGGUGCUGUUACUAUCUCCUACUCACAUAUACGGAAGGAACAUGGAUGAAGCUGGAAACCAUCAUUCUCAGCAAACUAACACAGAAACAGAAAAGCAAAUACCGUAUGUUCUCACUCAUGAUUGGGAGUUGAACAAUGAGAACACAUGGACACAGGGAGGGGAAUAUCACACACCGGGGCCUAUCAGGGCGUGGGAGGCUACGG